GACGAACGCUGGCGGCGUGCUUAACACAUGCAAGUCGAGCGGAGCGGCGAACGGGUGAGUAACGCGUGAGUAACUGCCCCCCUCUCUGGGAUAACAGUUGGAAACGGCUGCUAAUACCGGAUAGUGGGGGAUGACUCGCGUCCUAUCGGCUUGUUGGUGGGGUAGGCGCCUACCAAGGCGACGACGGGUAGCCGGCCUGGGAGGGCGACCGGCCACAUUGGGCUGAGAUACGGCCCAAACGCGUACGGGAGGCAGCAGUGGGGAAUAUUGCACAAUGGGGGCAACCCUGAUGCAGCAAUGCCGCGUGCGGGAUGACCGGCUUCGGGUUGUAAACAGCGUUCAGCCAUGCCGCGGUAGUGGCAGAAGAAGCACCGGCUAACUACGUGCCAGCCGCCGCGGUAAUAC
rnacentral:rRNA from 1 species